UGGGGAAUUUUGGACAAUGGGCGAAAGCCUGAUCCAGCAAUGCCGCGUGUGUGAAGAAGGCCUUCGGGUUGUAAAGCACUUUUGUCCGGAAAGAAAUCCUUGGCUCUAAUACAGUCGGGGGAUGACGGUACCGGAAGAAUAAGCACCGGCUAACUACGUGCCAGCAGCCGCGGUAAUACGUAGGGUGCAAGCGUUAAUCGGAAUUACUGGGCGUAAAGCGUGCGCAGGCGGUUUGCUAAGACCGAUGUGAAAUCCCCGGGCUCAACCUGGGAACUGCAUUGGUGACUGGCAGGCUAGAGUAUGGCAGAGGGGGGUAGAAUUCCACGUGUAGCAGUGAAAUGCGUAGAGAUGUGGAGGAAUACCGAUGGCGAAGGCAGCCCCCUGGGCCAAUACUGACGCUCAUGCACGAAAGCGUGGGGGAGCAAACAGGAUUAGAUACCCUGGUAGUCCACGCCCUAAACGAUGUCAACUAGUUGUUGGGGGAUUCAUUUCCUUAGUAACGUAGCUAACGCGUGAAGUUGACCGCCUGGGGAGUACGGUCGCAAGAUUAAAACUCAAAGGAAUUG
rnacentral:rRNA from 1 species